rnacentral:tRNA from 1 species
CAGAGAGUAGUUUAUUUGAAAACGCCAGCUUUGGGAGUUGGUGAUGAAGGUGAGACUCCUUUCUUUCUGA